rnacentral:rRNA from 2 species
UAGGGAAUCUUCGGCAAUGGACGAAAGUCUGACCGAGCAACGCCGCGUGAGUGAAGAAGGUUUUCGGAUCGUAAAACUCUGUUGUUAGAGAAGAACAAGGACGUUAGUAACUGAACGUCCCCUGACGGUAUCUAACCAGAAAGCCACGGCUAACUACGUGCCAGCAGCCGCGGUAAUACGUAGGUGGCAAGCGUUGUCCGGAUUUAUUGGGCGUACAGCGAGCGCAGGCGGUUUCUUAAGUCUGAUGUGAAAGCCCCCGGCUCAACCGGGGAGGGUCAUUGGAAACUGGGAGACUUGAGUGCAGAAGAGGAGAGUGGAAUUCCAUGUGUAGCGGUGAAAUGCGUAGAUAUAUGGAGGAACACCAGUGGCGAAGGCGGCUCUCUGGUCUGUAACUGACGCUGAGGCUCGAAAGCGUGGGGAGCAAACAGG